GGAGUGAAAUGGCGGAAAGGGAGGGAGGAGAGGAUGAAGAGAAGCGUGAGGGAGGAAGAGGAAAGGGGAAGAUGGUGGAAAAUGGUGGGGAAGGAAUUGGAAGAUGAAGAAUCCAAGGAAAAAUCAUCCGGAAAAGCAAAAAAUUCGGGAUUUUUUUUGUGUUGUCGGGAAUUUCAAUAAAGAUUUGGAAUGGUGGAAAAAAAUACAAAAUAUAAUAAAAAACAGAAAAAAACCCCCAAAAAAUUCAAUAAACAAGAAAAAAAAAAAGCAAAAAAAAAA